rnacentral:rRNA from 1 species
GGUCAAGCUACAAAGGGCUCACGGAGGAUACCUAGGCACACAGAGGCGAUGAAGGACGUGGUUACCUGCGAUAAGUCUCGGGGAGUUGGAAGCACACUUUGAUCCGGGAAUUUCCGAAUGGGGCAACCCCAUGUACGGCCAACUGAAUAUAUAGGUUGGUGCGAGCUAACCCAGCGAACUGAAACAUCUUAGUAGCUGGAGGAAGAGAAAGUAAAUAACGACUCCCUCAGUAGCGGCGAGCGAACGGGGAAAAGCCCAAACCGAUAGUCUUGACUAUCGGGGUUGUGGGACAGCAAUAUGUAUCAACAAGUCUAGAAGAAACGUUUGAAUGGCGUGCCACAGAGGGUGAAAGCCCCGUAAUCGAAAGGUAAGUUGAACUAGCUGUAUCCCGAGUAGCACGGAGCACGUGGAAUUCCGUGUGAAUCUGCGAGGACCACCUCGUAAGGCUAAGUACUACUGUGUGACCGAUAGUGAAACAGUACCGCGAGGGAAAGGUGAAAAGAACCCCGGGAGGGGAGUGAAAUAGAACAUGAAACCGUGAGCUUACAAGCAAUGGGAGCCCGACUAAUCGGGUGACCGUGUGCCUGUUGAAGAAUGAGCCGGCGACUUAUAGGCACUGGCGGGUUAAACCGGAAAUGGUGGAGCCACAGCGAAAGCGAGUCUUAAUAGGGCGUUUGUCAGUGUUUAUAGACCCGAACCCUGGUGAUCUAACCAUGGCCAGGAUGAAGCUUGGGUGAUACCAAGUGGAGGUCCGAACCGACUGAAGUUGAAAAUUCAGCGGAUGAGCUGUGGUUAGGGGUGAAAUGCCAAUCGAACCAGGAGCUAGCUGGUUCUCCCCGAAAUACGUUUGGGCGUAGCGUCUAGUGCUCCAGCAGGGGGGUAAAGCAACCAUUUCGGUGCGGGCUGCGAAAGCGGUACCAAAUCGAUAUGAACUCUGAAUACCCUGUGUGUAACUAGGCAGUCAGACUGUGGGGGAUAAGCUCCAUAGUCAAGAGGGAAACAGCCCAGACCGCCAGCUAAGGUCCCAAAAUUAACGCUAAG